AGGUGCGAUCAUACCAGCACUAAUGCACCGGAUCCCAUCAGAACUCCGCAGUUAAGCGUGCUUGGGCGAGAGUAGUACUAGGAUGGGUGACCUCCUGGGAAGUCCUCGUGUUGCACCUCU